rnacentral:rRNA from 1 species
GAUGAACGCUGGCGGCGUGCCUAAUACAUGCAAGUCGAGCGAACAGACGAGGAGCUUGCUCCUCUGACGUUAGCGGCGGACGGGUGAGUAACACGUGGAUAACCUACCUAUAAGACUGGGAUAACUUCGGGAAACCGGAGCUAAUACCGUAUAAUAUAUUGAACCGCAUGGUUCAAUAGUGAAAGACGGCUUUGCUGUCACUUAUAGAUGGAUCCGCGCCGCAUUAGCUAGUUGGUAAGGUAACGGCUUACCAAGGCGACGAUGCGUAGCCGACCUGAGAGGGGGAUAGGCCACACGAGAGCGGAGACACGGACCAGACGCCUACGGGAGGCAGCAGUAGGGAAUCUGCCGCAAUGGGCGAAAGCCUGACGGAGCGACGCCGCGUGAGUGAUGAAGGUCUUCGGAUCGUAAAACUGUGUUAUGAGGGAAGAACAAAUGUGUAAGUAACUAUGCACGUCUUGACGGUACCUGAUCAGAAAGCCACGGCUAACUACGUG